UUUAUUUAUUUAUUUAUUUAUUUGUGUGCUUUUAUAUGUGAUUCUGACCUGGGGCACAAAGAGCAGUAGGGCAGCCUUUCAUUUGCAACAAGAAGCAAGCAAUGGAGAAGGGAGGUGCAGGAGAAGAGAAUGAAGAAGACCCAUCUUAUUGACAAAUGAUUGAGAGUACUUAACAGCAAAGAUCAAACAGUAGCCUGGAAAAUAAGGGGAUGCUCUGCUUACAUUGGCAUGACAUCUUACGCGAGCACAAAUGUUUCAGCAUGCCAUCACUUAGAUUUCUACCAGGGAAAAGUAAGUCAAAUAUUAGGAGAUGAAGAUAUUACUUCCAACAGUUGGUGCCCUAUGUCUGGAAAGAAUCAGCAUCCCAUUAAGAGAAGUUUGCCAUCAGAUGAAAAACGUAGACAAGUCCUACAUUUUAUCUAUAUACUUAAGAUGAGACACUUUCCCAAGUGGGAGGCCUGAAGAUUUCCUUUUCUUCAGUUUGUCCC
rnacentral:lncRNA from 1 species